AAUGAAGGCCUUCUGGAAUAUAAAAUAGGUUCUUCGAAUUUUAACUGUGUUUCAGGAUCAGAAAUGAGUGGCGUUUUGUUUUAAGACAGGAUCUCUCAAUACUAUCGGGGCUGGCCCGGAACUCGUGAUCUUUUCUCAACCCCCUGGUGUUGGAUUAAGAGAUUUGUGCUAUGAUGCUGGGAAAAUUAUUUUUACUGUUAUGAAAACAGUUGCCUAGAAUUACUAGAGUAAUUUUAUUCACCAUUCACAUGGGCCACCCAAAUAAACAGGUAUUGUUACCAGACUCAGGGAGUACAGCCUGUUUUCAACAAGCCACGGUCAGCCACCUGUCUUCAAUAAGCUGGUUAAAAAAGUCAAAUUAAUAAUGAAAUACGGGGGGAGGGAAGAUAUGUUCAGUGUGGCCACUCUGAGAAGAGGGGUACAGCCAUCCAGUGAUUCCCCCAAGUCUGUCAUUGAGGAUCCUGACAAAAAGGCCUGGUGCCAGUGGAGACCAGAAGGGGAGGUCAGGUCCCCUAGAUCUAUGGUUAUGGAUGGCUGUAAAACCAUCACAUAGUGUUAGGAAACGACUUCACACCAAACACAAUUGGCUAACUGGCACAAAGAGACAGAGCAAGGUCCUGGGAAUAUGGGCCCUUUGGGGCUGACUGCCUUUUGGGAACAGAGAACUCCUGGAAAGAAGCGGAGUCCGCUGAGGCCAAUUGACUCAUUGGAGCUGACACUGUGGGGAGAUCGGAAUUUUGGAGGUCCAAAGUCUACAUAUGCCUCAGCAUCAGGCUUCCACCAGGCUGACAGACACCAUCCUGGAAGGCACUGAAAGCUGCUGCGAACCACUCCAGCUGAUGUGGCUGUUCCCUGUCCCUUUCGCUGAGUCAGCUACCCAGAUGCUUCUGAUAAAUGCACAUUUUCCAGCCUUUGGCUUGUCUUUGUCUUCCUGGGCCCUGACAACAACACCCUAGCUUCGGCUGGAAGUAGUUACAAAGAGAAUUUGUAGUCCCUUACCCCCUUGCAAAAAUUGAAAUGCUGGAUUAAAAGGAAACUCCCUGCGUAGGGGACAAAAAUGAUAUACUGUGAAAGUUGGGCUCAGAUUUAUCAACAGGUAGAUUCAUUAGCUGAAAUAGUUCUACAAGAAGACAGGGCAGUUGGUCUGCUUUAUGUAGAACAAAGAGGUACUGAAUGACUUGAAGAAAAAUAAUGUGUUUCUAUACAAACCAUUCCUGGCUGUACUAAAAGAAACACUGCAAGAGGGGGACCUGAGAUGAAAGAAAUGACUGGUGCUCUGUCCAUUUCAAGACUCCUUCUAGAGAGUAACCCUGAUGUCAGCCAUCACAGAACCUUUGGCCCUUCUGCUUCGGCUAAUUACUGUUGGCUCUUGCAUCACUGAUGUCUUGAUAAUUUCUCUCUGGUCACCAGUAAGUUGAUGGUUAUUAGAUUCCAAUGUAAACAGGUACCCAUCACAGAGUCAAGGACUUAAUUCAGAAUACAAUCCGGGGGUAUAGACGGGAGCAAAUGUAAGAGCCAAAGUCAACCUGUGAGCCCCAUUUUUCCAAGGACAAGGUUAACUAUCUGGGAUGCUGGGAACUGUAGUUCUUGGGAAAUAAGAAAGCCACAUAUUUUCACUCAGAGUUGAACCAAUUACACUGGAUAUGCUCAAUCACAUGUAGGCAGAAAGUAUGUCAGGAUGUGUUGCUGAAUAUUAAUAUUCAUUAUUUAGCUUUUAGUUAAACAGCAGUUAUUCCUAAACCAGCUGUAUACCCAAAUCACCACACAGAGACUAGGAUUUAUUUAGUUAACCUAAAGCACAAUGCUCGGCAAUGAUUACUCCAUCCUAAACCUUCAAGCAUGUAUAGCUUCCUCCCAGUCAGAUUUCCUACAUUAUACUUGCUUUUAGUCAUAUCUUUGGUCUCGUUUAUCUCUCCUCAUGGUUCUGAGUCCUCUCCUAAUGAUCUCUGCUUUCCUACUCCUCUCGCUUACUUCCUUGUCCUCCCCUCCGGACCAGGAUGUCCCACCCUAUUCUCUCCAUUACUCAGCAUUGGCUAGGUAUUUUAUUGACAAUACAGAGAACAAAUGGUGGCAUGUUUUACAUAAACUUGAGACAGGUGAUGCUUAGAAUAAGUCAAUGCAAUGUCCGGAUUGAACCAGAUAGUGGGGUAGAGAAAUCAGCAUUUGAAUGAACAAGGGUAAAUGUGUGCAUUCCACAAGAACAUUGUACCAACGAGGAUGUAUGCCUGCCCCUGAGUGAACCUGAUGGGAAAUGCAAUAAACUGUGUGUUUUGCCUUUUUAAGCCCCUACAAAACAUUAAUCGUGGCCACUCUCUGGGACCCCAAAGUGGAUCUGACUAGAAUCCAUCCUGGUCAAUAUUUAAUUAAAGCUUGCUUCAAAUUGACUCAAAAUUAUGGAACUGGCUUUUCCCUCACGAAUCUCAGGAUGAAGACAAGGUUCAGUUCCCAGCACCCUCAUGGCAGCUAACAAUCUUUAUAAUCCAGUUUCAGGAAAUCCGGCACCACAUACGUACGGAGUACAGACAUGCAUUCAGGCAAAACACUCAUACACAUGAAAUAAAAAAGUAAAUAAAUCUUAAGAAAAUAAAAGGUUAAUAAUGUGAGUUUAAAGUGAUAGUUGAAAAACACCUACCAGCUUCGCAUGUGGACUACGAAAUUCAUUUCCAUCCCAUUAACAGGCUGCAUACCAUCUCCUUCUGUAGGCAUUUUGGUCAUUCACACAUGUGUUUGCUAAAAAUAACCCCCUUACUGUGAAUAAACAUGGUCUUGCCUACUGUGAGGCCAAGCCUCUCUCUUUCUACCUUCCAUCUCUCUAAAGCUUCUUUUUGAAUAAUCUAAAAAAAAAAAAGUGUGCCUGUGUGUGAAUGUGUGUCUCUCUGUGUGUGUGUGACUGUGUCUUUAUGUGUAUGUUUUUCUCUGUGUGUAAGUGUGUCUGUGUGUGUGUGUCUGUGUGUGUGAGAGAGAGAAUAUGUGUGUGUGCAUUUGUGCAUAUUGCAAUUAAAUUGUGAGCAGAACAAAAAAAACUGAAGACAUUUUUCCAGUAUUAAAGAAACAAAUUUGUUGUGGUUUUUUUUCAUAUUUUGCAGCAGUCAGUGAAGAAGACUGCCAUACAGACAGAUGUGAAUUCCUAUCUUUCUUCUUUCUAUAUUGCUUUCAUCCUACUCUUUAAGUUAAAUAAAAAUGUCAACCAGCAUUCAUACUUCUGUCGUUUGCAGCCAUGCAUUGGCCACAGAUACUAAAGUUCAUCGAGAGUAAACUAAAUCACCGUGUAAAGGCAAUUAACCAUAAUGAUUUUGUAAUUUGCAUAAUUAUUUGUAAAUUGCAGGUUAUUCCUACUUUAAAUUAGUAAAAUACGGUACACAUGCACAUAAAUAUUACCUUUCAGAUUUGUUUUAUUCUUUUAUUUUAUGUGUGUGAGUGUUUUGCUUCCAUGUCUGUGCAUUCGUGUGCCUGCCUGGUACCCUCAGAGACCAGAAGAGGGUGCUGGAUCCUUUGCUACUGGAGUUACAGAUGGUUGUGAGCUGCCGUGAGGGUGCUGAGAAUCAGAGCCAGGUCCUCUGGAAGGUGCUUUUAACUGAUGAGCCAUCCCUGGUACCAGAUUUGUUCUUGAAAACCGACUGUUAAACAUUUCUCUGCACCUUGCCUCAGUAUGGCUGUCAGCUUCACAGAAACAGCAGCACGGAUGCCGUCCCAUCCUCUGCCGUGCUCCUCUGCAGCAUCAGACUCCAUCUUCUUUAGCAUUUCAACACAGACUCAAUACUCUGCAGGGACUUUCCAGACCUUCAGUACCAUGUGGGGACUGCUGAGCUUCCUGGAUUGAACAACUCUCUCGUCUUCUGCCUCCCUAGGGAGCAGAUCAUGGUUGUUGACUUACUCAUCCUCCGUCGUGUAAAGGAACUGAAUAGAUCCCAUUUUUAUUUAAAAAUUUUUUGAUCCAUUUAACCCUGCCUCAGUCCAGAAUUGUAAGUUCCUUGUGGACAGUAACUACUUCUGUUUGAUUUCCCAAGAUUCUACACGUCUUCUUAUAUAGGUGCUUAACAGAGUAUUACUGUGAAUGAGUAAAUGCAAGUUUAGAAACUUUGCCUUCUUCAUGUUUAUUCUGAGAACCAACAGAUACAAAUCAAGUCCUGCAAGAGAAAAAAAAAAUGAGUAUGCCGAACUGCCUCUUGAUUGUGAAAACAACUGUGUAACAUUCAAACAUGUGUUAAGAGAGAGGAAAGAUGGUUUUUGGGGGAGAGGAUACACAGCACAGUUACCCUCAUACUUGUUUUCGUGGUUGCUUUUUGAAAAUCAAGUCCCCGUUGCGAUAUAUCCAAUGAGACAGUCCAGUAUCCUGAACCCCAAAACAAGGCCCAAUUCUUGAGAUUUUUUUGUCUCUCAGAGGUACCAGCAUUUUUCUGACACCAUCAUUGACCAGGAGAACUGAUGGCUUGCUUCGUGGCUUCAAGAUUUUUAUGUUAAGAUAAAUGGCAAUAAAUAAGAGCCAGGAGACACAGAUAACAAAGAUUCAUGUAGGGUGUGCCUUUUCAUGAGCGCGAGCUAUACUCUUUUACAUGCUAUACAUAUGCUAGACUGAAAUCUAGCAUCUUAGUUUCUGUGAAGAACUUUACGUUGGGGAUUUUUUUUUCUUAUACUACAAAUGAGGGUGGCGGCUCAAGAGCUUUGGGAAGUUGCUUACAGGACAGAUCUGCUCAGCAGCAAGACUGAAUUUGUCUCUGAUUUGUCUCUGCUGGAGGUGUUUUAAUCGGACACUGUUUCUGGAAACAUCAGCUGUCCAUAUACCACUCAGUUCAGGAAACUGUUCAGCUACUGCUUUCAGCUACUGCCAUGUCUGCCUGCCAAUCAUGUUAUUAUUUCCCUCCUAUAUUCCUUGGACUUGUAAAACUUUUUAUUUAACCUAAUCCAUAGAAUUAUGGUUGACGUAUUACAUUGUCUGAAUACAUGGAUUUGUGUAAAUAGAUGCUAGUGAUUAAUCUUUAAAAUGUAUCUGCUUACUGUCUAGAAUGGAAUGAAAAUAACAAGAAAUAAAAAGGAAAGGACAUGACAGUUCCUAGGUAAGGUGGAGGAGGAAGUUUACAGAUAAAAGGGAGAGCAUAGCCAGAGACAGGGACAUCUGGAAGAAUCCAGAGUGGACAUGACCCUGAGCCAU